rnacentral:rRNA from 1 species
CACGUAUUUAGCCGUCACUUCUUCUGUUGGUACCGUCAUUUCUUUCUUCCCAACUGAAAGCACUUUACAUUCCGAAAAACUUCAUCGUGCACAUAGAAUUGCUGGAUCAGACUCUCGGUCCAUUGUCCAAUAUUCCCCACUGCUGCCUCCCGUAGGAGUAAGGGCCGUGUCUCAGUCCCCUUGUGGCCGUUCACCCUCUCAGGCCGGCUACCCAUCAUCGCCUUGGUGAGCUGUUACCUCUCCAACUAGCUAAUGGGACGCAAAGCUCUCUCACAGUGCUUAUAGCUUUCAUAAUUCUAAGAUGCCUUAAAAUCAUAAUAUCAGGUAUUAGCAUUCAUUUCUAAAUGUUGUCCCUAGCUGUGAGGCAAGUUCUUUACGCGUUACUCACCCGUCCGCCACCCAAAUCUAAGUUAAAAACCCAAUUCAAGUUGACUUGCAUGUGUUAAGCUAUUCUGUCAGCGUUCAUCCUGAGCCAGGACUCAAACUUCU